CUUAAGCAUAUCAAUAAGCGGAGGAAAAGAAACCAACAGGGAUUACCUCAGUAACGGCGAGUGAAGCGGUAACAGCUCAAAUUUGAAAUCUGGUCCUUUCAGGGCCCGAGUUGUAAUUUGUAGAAGAUGCUUUGGGUGUGGCCCCGGUCUAAGUUCCUUGGAACAGGACGUCAUAGAGGGUGAGAAUCCCGUAUGUGACUGGGUGCUUUCGCCUAUGUAAAGCUCUUUCGACGAGUCGAGUUGUUUGGGAAUGCAGCUCAAAAUGGGUGGUAAAUUUCAUCUAAAGCUAAAUAUUGGCCAGAGACCGAUAGCGCACAAGUAGAGUGAUCGAAAGAUGAAAAGCACUUUGGAAAGAGAGUUAAACAGUACGUGAAAUUGUUGAAAGGGAAGCGCUUGCAACCAGACUUGCACGCCGUCGAUCAUCCUGGGUUCUCCCUGGUGCACUCGGCGGCGUUCAGGCCAGCAUCGGUUUUGGUGGUGGGAUAAAGGCCUUGGGAAUGUAGCUCCUCUCGGGGAGUGUUAUAGCCCUCGGUGCAAUGCCGCCUACCGGGACCGAGGACCGCGCUUCGGCUAGGAUGCUGGCGUAAUGGUUGUAAGCGACCCGUCUUGAAACACGGACCAAGGAGUCUAACAUCUAUGCGAGUAUUUGGGUGUUAAACCCAUAUGCGUAAUGAAAGUGAACGGAGGUGAGAACCCUUAAGGGUGCAUCAUCGACCGAUCCUGAUGUCUUCGGAUGGAUUUGAGUAAGAGCAUAGCUGUUGGGACCCGAAAGAUGGUGAACUAUGCCUAAAUAGGGUGAAGCCAGAGGAAACUGGUGGAGGCUCGCAGCGGUUCUGACGUGCAAAUCGAUCGUCAAAUUUGGGUAUAGGGGCGAAAGACUAAUCGAACCAUCUAGUAGCUGGUUCCUGCCGAAGUU
rnacentral:rRNA from 1 species